UGAGGAUUUUAAACCUUACACUAUCAGCAAUGAGAGUCAACCAAAUUUUUAGUAGAAAAGAUGUGUGUUCAAUUUUAUAUUUUAAACAGCAACUCCAGGAGAAGAAGGGUGUGAGAUUGGAAGCUAUAGACAUAGUUGCUGGCUGUUGAUCAGAUUAGUUUAAAAAUGAAGAAGACCUGAGCUAAUAUGAAGACGAAAAUUGAGCGAGCUGAAGAAAAUAGUUUCAGCCUUCCCGUUCCCCAUCCUUAGCUGUCCUGCGGCACACACGUGGAGUAAGCAGAGAGGGGCGUGGUCCAGCCUACUGCAUCAAUGAUGGUGCUGCCCUGUGUCUGUUCAGCAUUGAAAACUAUGUUCAUGUGAAAAUCGUGAGUAAAAUUAAUAAAUCAUAAAUAUAGGACUCAGCCAGGAUCUGAUUUUAAAGCUAAGGUGCUACAGUAAUACUGCUGUGUGUUUUUAAAAUGUUUAUGUAAUUAUGUCUCCAUUGUAAUUAUGGAGAGCUUUAAAAUGCCUGGGUUGUUUGUAACGGUCCUUAUUGAUUAUCCUAGUUGCAUUGUGAGCCGCAAUGUUUUUACAUUCAUCAGGAAGAAUAAGACGAAAAAAUACAAAGCACAACGGCA
rnacentral:lncRNA from 1 species